rnacentral:rRNA from 1 species
GACGAACGCUGGCGGCGUGCCUAACACAUGCAAGUGGAGCGACGAACCGGACUUCGGUCCGGGGCAAAGCCGCGAACGGGUGAGUAACACGUGGGUAACCUGCCCCGAUGAUUGGGACGAACCCGAGGAAACUCGGGCUAAUACCGAAUGUGCCCUACGGUCGCAAGACCGCUGGGGAAAGGAAGCUUCGGCCUCCGCAUCGGGAGUGGGCCCGGCCGGCCCAUUAGCCUGUUGGUGAGGUAAAGGCUCACCAAGGCCACGAUGGUAGGCUGGUCUGAGAGGACGAUCAGCCA